rnacentral:rRNA from 1 species
CAGUCGCCGCGGUAAUACGGAGGGGGCUAGCGUUGUUCGGAAUUACUGGGCGUAAAGCGCACGUAGGCGGCUUGGUAAGUUAGAGGUGAAAGCCUGGAGCUCAACUCCAGAAUUGCCCUUAAGACUGCCGAGCUAGCAGGUGAGAGAGGUAAGUGGAAUUCCGAGUGUAGAGGUGAAAUUCGUAGAUAUUCGGAAGAACACCAGUGGCGAAGGCGGCUUACUGGCUCAUACUGGACGCUGAGGUGCGAAAGCGUGGGGAGCAAACAGGAUUAGAUACCCGUGUAGUCCCUGUCUCUUAUAC